AUUGAACGCUGGCGGCAUGCUUUACACAUGCAAGUCGAACGGUAACAGGCCUUCGGGUGCUGACGAGUGGCGAACGGGUGAGUAAUGCAUCGGAACAUACCCAGUCGUGGGGGAUAACGUAGCGAAAGUUACGCUAAUACCGCAUACGUCCAGAGGGAGAAAGCGGGGGAUCGCAAGACCACGCGCGAUUGGAGUGGCCGAUGUCAGAUUAGCUAGUUGGUGGGGUAAAGGCCCACCAAGGCGACGAUCUGUAGCGGGUCUGAGAGGAUGAUCCGCCACACUGGGACUGAGACACGGCCCAGACUCCUACGGGAGGCAGCAGUGGGGAAUUUUGGACAAUGGGGGCAACCCUGAUCCAGCCAUGCCGCGUGCGGGAAGAAGGCCUUCGGGUUGUAAACCGCUUUCGGACAGAAAGAAAUCGCAUGGGCUAAUACCCUGUGUGGAUGACGGUACUGUAAGAAGAAGCACCGGCUAACUACGUGCCAGCCGCCGCAGUAA
rnacentral:rRNA from 1 species